GGUUGACCUCGGAUCAGGUAGGAAUACCCGCUGAACUUAAGCAUAUCAAUAAGCGGAGGAAAAGAAACCAACAGGGAUUGCCCUAGUAACGGCGAGUGAAGCGGCAACAGCUCAAAUUUGAAAUCUGGCCCUCGGGUCCGAGUUGUAAUUUGUAGAGGAUGCUUUUGGUGCGGUACCUUCCGAGUUCCCUGGAACGGGACGCCAUAGAGGGUGAGAGCCCCGUCUGGUCGGAUACCAAUCCUCUGUAAAGCUCCUUCGACGAGUCGAGUAGUUUGGGAAUGCUGCUCUAAAUGGGAGGUAUAUGUCUUCUAAAGCUAAAUAUUGGCCAGAGACCGAUAGCGCACAAGUAGAGUGAUCGAAAGAUGAAAAGCACUUUGAAAAGAGGGUUAAACAGUACGUGAAAUUGUUGAAAGGGAAGCGCUUGUGACCAGACUUGGGCCCGGUUAAUCAUCCACCGUUCUCGGUGGUGCACUUGGCCGGCCCAGGCCAGCAUCAGUUCGGCGUGGGGGAUAAAGACUUUGGGAAUGUGGCUCCCUCCGGGGAGUGUUAUAGCCCAUUGUGUAAUACCCUGUGCUGGACUGAGGUUCGCGCAUUCGCAAGGAUGCUGGCGUAAUGGUCAUCAGCGACCCGUCUU
rnacentral:rRNA from 2 species